AUACUUACCUCGAGAUGUUACAGAGGAUCAAGAAGCUCUGGAACCACUUUUCUAUGUUUGCAUUGCACAGCGCUGCAUGGAAAGUGCCAACUUCCGCUUGGAAGUGUGGGUCUUUUAAUUUUUGAUUUCGUCAACUCGACUUUGUCGGUGAUU
rnacentral:snRNA from 21 species